rnacentral:rRNA from 1 species
UACGGAGGGUGCAAGCGUUGUCCGGAUUUAUUGGGUUUAAAGGGUGCGUAGGUGGCCUUAUAAGUCAGCGGUGAAAGUCUGCAGCUUAACUGUAGAACUGCCAUUGAUACUGUAAGGCUUGAGUACUGAUGAGGUAGGCGGAACUGAUAGUGUAGCGGUGAAAUGCAUAGAUAUUAUCAAGAACACCGAUUGCGAAGGCAGCUUACUAAGGAGUUACUGACACUGAGGCACGAAAGCGUGGGGAUCAAACAGG